rnacentral:rRNA from 1 species
GACGGGGGGAUGCAAGUGUUAUCCGGAAUCACUGGGCGUAAAGCGUCUGUAGGUGGUCAAAUAAGUCAACUGUUAAAUCUUGAGGCUUAACCUCAAAAUCGCAGUCGAAACUAUUAGACUAGAGUAUAGUAGGGGUAAAGGGAAUUUCCAGUGGAGCGGUGAAAUGCGUAGAGAUUGGAAAGAACACCGAUGGCGAAGGCACUUUACUGGGCUAUUACUAACACUCAGAGACGAAAGCUAGGGUAGCAAAUGGG